UCACAUCUCAGCCAGGGAUCAUAUCCCUAAGCUUUGAUACCAACUGUAACGCCCCCAAAAUUAGGUAUACGUCACCCAUCUUGGGUCGCCACUUACAUGGUACUGAAUACAAAUACAAACUAAUUAUACAACAGUCGUGUAAAAUACGACAAAACAUAAACUGAGAGUUUUAAUAAGAAUAUUGUCAUCUAGACAGUAUUCAAACACAAUGGAGU
rnacentral:lncRNA from 1 species